rnacentral:rRNA from 1 species
CGAUGAAGGCAGGAGCUUGCUUUUGCUGGAUUAGUGGCGAACGGGUGAGUAACACGUGAGUAACCUGCCCUUGACUCUGGGAUAAGCGUUGGAAACGACGUCUAAUACCGGAUACGAGCUAGGACCGCAUGGUCACUAGCUGGAAAGAAUUUUGGUCAAGGAUGGACUCGCGGCCUAUCAGCUAGUUGGUGAGGUAACGGCCCACCAAGGCGACGACGGGUAGCCGGCCUGAGAGGGUGACCGGCCACACUGGGACUGAGACACGGCCCAGACUCCUACGGGAGGCAGCAGUGGGGAAUAUUGCACAAUGGGCGAAAGCCUGAUGCAGCAACGCCGCGUGAGGGACGACGGCCUUCGGGUUGUAAACCUCUUUUAGCAGGGAAGAAGCGAAAGUGACGGUACCUGCAGAAAAAGCACCGGCUAACUACGUGCCAGCAGCCGCGGUAAUACGUAGGGUGCAAGCGUUGUCCGGAAUUAUUGGGCGUAAAGAGCUCGUAGGCGGUUUGUCGCGUCUGCUGUGAAAAUCCGAGGCUCAACCUCGGACCUGCAGUGGGUACGGGCAAACUAGAGUGCGGUAGGGGAGAUUGGAAUUCCUGGUGUAGCGGUGGAAUGCGCAGAUAUCAGGAGGAACACC